UUGGCAAUAAGGGACUGAUAGCGGUUUCAAAGAUCUGAGAGGGCAAAUUUCACUGGUAAUUUGGAAACAAAUUCCAUCAAAGUGGCCUCAGAGUGGCCUCUGUUAUUCCUGGUACCCCAGCGCAAUGAACAACCUCAUUUGACAGAAUGAAGGGGGAUUCACGUUUACGAGUGCCAACAGGCCCAGGAAUCAUCAGAGACAGUUGCACAUCUGGAAAUCUGACAAGGAAGCUGUAAUGUUAUGGAGAAAAUUAUGCACAAGGAUGUGAGAGGAUGUAAGUUAUGAAAGGCCAAGGACAUGAUAUCAUUGCAGCUUGCUUUGCCUUCAUGUGUAUCAUGUCUAUGGAAGCCAUACCUUACUAUUGAAACUUAUAGUUGAAUUCCCUCUUAGGCGUAUUACUUAAUGGCGUGUUCAUCCUUUUCUGCUCACGCAGAAGAAAUGUGCUAAUUCAACCUAUUGAAUCUUUGAUGUUCCUUUCCUGUUCACAUGUAUAAAUGUGCUAAUUCAACCGACUGUGAUGAUCUGAUCAAGAUGCCUUUCUAGUGCCUAGAAUAUGUUUAUCUUUUAUAAAAUUCAGUCCUUAUGUCCCAUUGUCUGUUAAUGUUACACAUGACCUUGGAGCACAUUAACUGAAGAGCGAAUUGUGUUUUUCUGAUACAUUUUGGCUAAAAAGACAAUUUGCAGUGACAUUGCCUAUUUACUAAAAGAUAAACAACACACUUCAAAUUUCAAUUUGUUACCCAUUUCACCACAAUCUAUUUCAGCAGGUUCUGACUGGCAAAUUAAUACAAUAAAGCUACAUGCUCAACAUUAUUAUGUC